AGAUCACAAGCAGGCAGAGAGACAGGCAGAGAGAGAAGGGGAAGCAGUCUCCCUGAUGAGCAGAAAGCCGGAGGCGGGGCUAGAUCCCAGGACCCUGGGAUCACGACCUGAGUUGAAGUCAGAUGCUUAACAACUGAGCCACCCAGAUUGUCAAGUAAGAGUAAUCCCAGAAGGACCUACACUGCUCACCCCAUGUUGGAGAGACACUUGGUGCCUUUGUAGUGCUUAUGAGCCAGUUUGGAAAACAGAAAAGGGGGAGGUCCCAAGACAAUCUCGUAAGGACUCCAACAGAUGAACAGUAGUUAGAUGUUUGUAAAUCAAGUUAAAACAUCUAUUCUUGUUCCCAAAGUACUUACAUGUAAACUUCAUAAUAAACUUGAACAUUUCCUUAG